AAAUUUUGUAUCAAAAGAAACAUAAUGUGUUGUGUUAUAUAAGAGAAUCCCCCUUUCUCUGUCUCUGUCGUUUUUUUUUUAAUUAUCUUGGAGAUAGGAAUCCAAAUCCGCCGAAUCACUCAUGUUAUGAUCGUCUACAUCCUAGGUCUUCCUGUUCCUUCAUCUGGCUUAUGUUCUUCAUGUAGCAUUCAGACCGAAUGACUCUAUGAAAUUAC
rnacentral:lncRNA from 1 species